UUCUUGACUGUUUCUACUCAAUACAACAUAAAUUUUAUGAGAGCAGAGAUUUUUGUCUCUUUCAUCCUCUGCUAUAAUUUGGUGCCUAGAACAAUAUCUGGCACGAAGUAGAUGCUCGAUAAAUGCUUUUUGAGUAAAGUAACGCAGAAGCUGUAUGUGUUCUGUUGCUAGAGGCUAAGUGCAUUUUCUCUAAGCCCAGCAUUGAAUGGCUUAUUGAAGAAUGAAACACGCAUUUCCAGGCUGGUCUCUGUGGUUUUUAUUAGUGUUUCCUGGGACCCAUCAAACAAAUAAACAUAUUUUGAAAAAUAUAAUUCUUUGACAAAACAGGAAUAGCAGGAAUAGUUUGAAUUUAACAUAGCUUAAAGGGAAAGAUUUCUGAUUUUUUUUAAAUAGUAGCAAUAGAGUUGUUUCCACAAAUUGUCAACCCAGGAGCCAGAUGGAAAGAAAAACAAGAAUUAUGCAGAUAACUACAGAAAGAUUAAUCCCAAUUUAGUUAAACUUGUGAAGGCUUGUACGUUUCAGAGGUUCAUAAGACACAGUCUCAACAGGAGUUUUUUUUAAUAAAUGCUCUAUCUCUAGUUCCAGAAACUGAAUUCCAAGAAGCUACACUGAGGAUAAUUCAGCUCUGAUAUUGUGAUUACUGUGAUGUUCUUUCAUUCAUACAGUAAGUAUCUGCCCAAUACGUAACUACCGAGAUCUAUGCUUGCAAAACUAAAAUCUAACAUGCAUUACUAACUUUAUCAAAAGAUCCCUCAGUAUUUUUCAAAAAGGAAAAAAAUAAUAAAAACCAAUCCCCCAAAUACUAAAACUUAGAACUGCUUUACACUUAAAUAGCAAUUUACAUCAUAUUAACAUAUUCAUAAUCUUCAUUGGUUAAAACAGGUCAAAGGUUUAUUACUGGCUUCUCAUACCAGAUAAGUCUCACAGUUCCCAAUAAGGCAACAGAAUCCUCAUCCAACAUAUAUUGACUUGUGGAACCCAACGGCCUGUUUUGGUUUCAUUUCAGCGCAAGUAGAAGGCAAAAUAAAGAGUCUCACAGUAAAAUGUUCAUAGUAGAUAAUAUGUCCUUGAAGGUUGUGCCGUUGUGCUCUUAUUCCACUGAAGAAAUGAUUCACAUCCCAAUUAUAGAUAUGGUCUCCCAAUCAGAGGAGUCUUUUAGAAGACAUUCAUUCAUUCAUUGAACAAAUAUGUGUUGUGUACUUGUCCCAUGCUAGGUAACAGGAAAAUAAUAGUGAUUGAUAAGACAUAGUCCCUGUCCUCAAAGAGCUAACAGUCUAGCAAGGCAGGAACUUUGAGAAAAGACCAAUGUGUUCAAAGGAAAACUCACAACCUGGGUCUCCCUUCUCAGAUGGCACAUUCAAGAAACUGUUGCUUAUGCCCCUGGGAGCCAGAGCCUUACUUAAGUCUUACCAAGUCAAAUAUCUAUCAGCCUCAGAUGAUUUGAGCCUGGUAAAGUCUUAGCAAUAGAUUUGCUGCCUCAUGUUCCCAUGAAAACCUAAUAAGAGAGAGCCCUUUCAACUCAGGCAUACGGGGGGUUUAAGGAUAACAUGUUUAGUGACCAUGUGGACAUUCAGCACAGGUGAGCUUCUCAAGUGAGAGCCAUGUGUCCCCAAAAGAAAGGAGGGUUUAUCCAUAAGACUUUGCUCUCCCUUUCAACACUGUGGUGGGAAGUACUCUGUUACCACCCCAAGUUGGCAUAGCUCGAUUACUUUAAGUUCUCCAAGUCACGAACAGCACAUAGAAAAUGCAGCAAACUCAAGUCAAGACAAUAGAGAGAUAUGCUGAGAACUUAAUACUCAAGCCUUAAUCAGGCACCAGAUGCCAAGAAACCUUCACUCUCAACAAACAACACAAUCCACUAAUUAUCUGUAGAAUUGUUGUAGUUGGUACUCUUCACAUUCACUUACUCCUUAGCAAAGAUUGCUCUUGAAUGGAAAGGUUGCAGAAAGAGCCAAAGCCAAUUUGGAAGAAGUGAGAAACUUACAGGUUUGAGGAAUGGUGAAGUCAGCGAAGGAUCUAGCCUCCUUAGAUGAUGAACAGGCAAAGUCAGAGAAGGAACCACAGUGAGAGAAUUGGCAGAUGCCCCUAAUAAAAUCACACAACUCAGACACACACACAGACACACAAAUAUUCAUGCGUUAUACCCAUUCAAGUAACUGGAUAUUUAAUUCAUUCUAUGCAAUGAACAGUCAAAUGCUGGGAAGGCCCCAUAGUUCUUUGGCCUUCUUGUAAAGCAACAUAUGUCUUUUCUGCAGGAAUGUCUGAGUUGCACAGUCAAGAUCGUUGCUGUUCAUUGUUCUUUUUCUCAGCUCUUUCAGUAACUGUUACUUGACAACACUAAGUUAAACCUUUACAGAAGUGACCAAGCCAGGCAGAAAUAAAAAUGGAUUUGGUU
rnacentral:lncRNA from 10 species